rnacentral:rRNA from 1 species
UACGUAUGGAGCAAGCGUUAUCCGGAUUUACUGGGUGUAAAGGGAGCGUAGACGGUUGCGCAAGUCUGAUGUGAAAGGUGUGGGCUCAACCCGAAAACUGCAUUGGAAACUGUGCAACUAGAGUGUCGGAGAGGUAAGUGGAAUUCCUAGUGUAGCGGUGAAAUGCGUAGAUAUUAGGAGGAACACCAGCGGCGAAGGCGGCUUACUGGACGAUAACUGACGUUGAGGCUCGAAAGCGUGGGGAGCAAAC